rnacentral:tRNA from 1 species
GGUCCCGUGGUGUAGCUUGGCCAAACACGCGGCCCUGUCAAGGCCGAGAACGCCGGUUCGAAUCCGGUCGGGACCGCCA